UGGUUGAUCCUGCCAGAAGCUACCGCUAUUGGAGUUCGAUUAAGCCAUGCGAGUCGAGAGUCUUAGGGACUCGGCGUACCGCUCAGUAACACGUGGGUAACCUGCCCUAUGCUGGGGAAUAACCUCGGGAAACUGAGAAUAAUACCUCAUAGUCCACAAUGCCUGGAACGGUUUGUGGAUUAAAGCCCCGGCGGCAUAAGAAGGGCCUGCGGCGUAUCAGGUUGUAGGGGGUGUAACGUACCCUCUAGCCCUCAACGCGUACGGGUGUUGGGAGACAUAGCCCGGAAAUGGAUUCUGAAACACGAAUCCCGACCCUACGGGGUGCAGCAGGCGCGAAAACUUGGCAAUGCGAGAAAUCGUGACCAGGGAACUCCAAGUGGCUGGGGUAAGACCCAGUCUUUUCUUGACUCUUCAAAGGUCUUGGAAUAAGAAGUGGGUAAGGACGGUGCCAGCCGCCGCGGUAAUACCGGCGCCUCAAGUGGUAGUCGAUUUUAUUGGGCCUAAAACGUCCGUAGCCUGUUUGGUACAUUCGUGGG
rnacentral:rRNA from 1 species